rnacentral:rRNA from 1 species
CAGUAGGGAAUCUUCCACAAUGGACGCAAGUCUGAUGGAGCAACGCCGCGUGAGUGAAGAAGGUCUUCGGAUCGUAAAACUCUGUUGUUAGAGAAGAACACGAGUGAGAGUAACUGUUCAUUCGAUGACGGUAUCUAACCAGCAAGUCACGGCUAACUACGNGCCAG